UACGUAGGGUGCGGGCGUUAAUCGGAAUUACUGGGCGUAAGGCGUGCGCAGGCGGCCUCUUAAGUCAGAUGUGAAAUCCCCGGGCUUAACCUGGGAACUGCGUUUGAAACUGGGAGGCUAGAGUGUGGAAGAGGGGGGUGGAAUUCCAGGUGUAGCAGUGAAAUGCGUAGAGAUCUGGAGGAACACCGAUGGCGAAGGCAGCCCCCUGGGCUGACACUGACGCUCAUGCACGAAAGCGUGGGGUGCAAACAGG
rnacentral:rRNA from 1 species